rnacentral:lncRNA from 1 species
CACCCGAGAGAGGAGUGUGUGAGGACCUAUUCUGUUUAUACUAAUCUUUUGAUUGCAGCAUACAAAGAUGAGUAGUGGAGGUAGUGAACAACCAGAUGUUGAUAUGAAGUUAUGGAUGAAAGCCAUUGCUGAUCAACUUACUAAGCUUGGUGCACGAAUGGAUGAUUUCGAAUCACCAAGCAGAAUCAAACCUUUGAGGGGGCGGAUGUUUGAAGAUGAUGAAGAAGAUUUAGAUUAUGAAUCUAACUCU